rnacentral:rRNA from 1 species
UACGGAGGAUGCAGGCGUUAUCCGGAUUUAUUAGGUUUAAAGGGUGCGUAGACGGGUUUGUAAGUCAGUGGUGAAAUCCUACGGCUUAACUGUAGAACAGCCAUUGAUACUAUAGACCUUGAAUGCAGUUGAGGUAGGCGGAAUGUGUCGUGUAGCGGUGAAAUGCUUAGAUAUGACACAGAACACCGAUUGCGAAGGCAGCUUGCUAAACUGUGAUUGACGUUGAGGCACGAAAGCGUGGGGAUCAAACAGG